rnacentral:snoRNA from 1 species
ACCUGCAUCGAAAGUGAUCGUGGUCCUGCCGGUGGCCCGGUCAUUGAUACUGCAGGGAGAGUGACUGCUGAAAGUCUUUCCCGUGUUUGGAGAUGCUCGCGCGGUGCCUACCAAACCCUGUAUCUUUCGCACA